CGAGGAGCCACGUUCUGUUGAACAACAGUAGUCUUGGGCACGGAGUAUGCCAAUGGGACCGAGUAGGACAAUACAUUUCCUUCAGCAACAACGGCCAAGGCCAUCAUGACUACAGCUGCGAUGCACUGUUAAAAAGAUAAUUAUUGGCUAAACGGCGAGAGGAUUGUCACAACUUGAAGUUCUGAUGUGAUUUAAUGUCCUUCCAAUUUUUGCUUGCGUUAUAUAGUGUCGAAAUAUAUUUCGCGAUAAUGUUUUGACGUAUAGAGGAUUAACGAAAAAAAUCGAAAGUUCAACCUGUUCCUAUGAGCGUAUUACCUGUUCUUAGUUGUAAGUUGAUGCUUUUUGCUCCGCAUUUUCCUCGUGUUUCUGUUUUAACUCUUUCUUCUAGCGCUGCUGUUUCGCUGACCUUGAUUAAAGCUAAAUAGGUAGAUCAG